rnacentral:rRNA from 1 species
UACGUAGGGUGCGAGCGUUGUCCCGGAAUUAUUGGGCGUAAAGAGCUCGUAGGCGGUCUGUCGCGUCGGUCGUGAAAACUUGGGGCUUAACCCUGAGCUUGCGGUCGAUACGGGCAUGACUGGAGUUCGGCAGGGGAGACUGGAAUUCCUGGUGUAGCGGUGAAAUGCGCAGAUAUCAGGAGGAACACCGGUGGCGAAGGCGGCCCGCUGGGCAGUGGCUGACGCUGAGGCGCGACAGCGUGGGGAGCAAACAGG